UACGUAGGCAGCGAGCGUUGUUCGGAGUUACUGGGCGUAAAGGGUGUGUAGGCGGUUCUUUAAGUUUGGUGUGAAACCUCCCGGCUCAACCGGGAGGGUGCGCCGAAUACUGAGGGACUUGGAGUGCGGGAGAGGAAAGUGGAAUUCCAGGUGUAGCGGUGAAAUGCGUAGAUAUCUGGAGGAAUACCGGUGGCGAAGGCGGCAUCCUGGACCGACAUUGACGCUGAACGGCGAAAGCUAGGGGAGCAAACAGG
rnacentral:rRNA from 1 species